UACGGGGGGGGCAAGCGUUGUUCGGAAUUACUGGGCGGAAAGGGCUCGUAGGCGGCCAACUAAGUCAAACGUGAAAUCCCUCGGCUUAACCGGGGAACUGCGCUUGAUACUGGAUGGCUUGAGAUUGGGAGAGGGAUGCGGAAUUCCAGGUGUAGCGGUGAAAUGCGUAGAUAUCUGGAGGAACACCGGUGGCGAAGGCGGCUACCUGGACCAGCACUGACACUGAGGCACGAAAGCGUGGGGAGCAAACAGG
rnacentral:rRNA from 1 species